CCAAGUACCACAAAGUUCAUCCUGAGAUCAUUAAAAUAGCUCCCCGCAUGCGGCCAGUGCUCUCGAGGUCUUGGAUUUCGCUGCAUCAGCUGGAUGUUUUGCUGCGAAAGGAACUAGAAACCUUCAAUAAGGCCGUAAAUUAACUUCAAAACGUCCAGAUUGAGUACAAAUGACAGUAAAAGACGUAAGUAGCUAGUCCCGUUAUUCGAAACAGGUGUCAGGACUUGAACACAGUUCAAAACUUGUCUCAGUAAGUUCCGCCUUGGCCAUCAGGAAAGCAAGCGGAUGUCGUAGGGGUCCUCCUUAUAAAGUUGUUGCUGACUUAAACGGCAUUUUCAAGCUCAACUGCAAACCCAUCCGACAGAUCAUACACUGUUGUGCUGCGUGAAACGUUUCCGACACUGCGGCCUGAAGAAGUGCAACACCUGGUUCUCACCAUGAAGGCACUGGUUAUCUUGUUCCUCGGUCUCAUCGUCUGUGCCCAAGCCAUGGAGAUUUCACGGGCUAAGCGCCGAGUAGUAGGGUGUAGUCGACCUGUACUCUGCUACGUGGACCCCUGUAUGACCGCGGACUGUCCUGGAGAGUGCAU